rnacentral:rRNA from 2 species
UACGGAGGGUGCAAGCAUUAAUCGGAUUUAUUGGGCGUAAAGGGCGCGUAGGCGGAUUUGUAAGUCGUAUGUGAAAUUCCGAAGCUCAACUUCGGAGCUGCAUAUGAAACUGUGAAUCUAGAGGGAUGGCGGAGAAAAUGGAAUUCCACGUGUAGCGGUGAAAUGCGUAGAUAUGUGGAAGAACACCGGUGGCGAAAGCGGUUUUCUAGCUAUUACCUGACGCUGAGGCGCGAGAGCAAGGGGAGCAAACAGG